AAGUGCUCCUUGCCUGCCUCUAUGAUUCUGAAGUCUCCCCAACCAUGUGAAACUGAAAUACCUUUCACUUCCCACCAUGAUUCUGAGGCCUCCCCAGCCAUAUGGAACUAUACUAAGUACAACAGCCUAUGAGGAUUAUCAUCUUUUCUUAUUAAUAAGUGUCCUUCACACUUUAAAAGAUGAAGAAUCAGAGCACUAGUCAUGCUCUUUGCUCAGCCACAUCUGGCACUUUUCUCUGGACUUUUUCGCUAUUCACAGACGCUAAAAGAUGGAGUGCUUUGUGGAGAACACUAUCAGCAAUGUAUUAAGCCCUGAGGAAUGGAUUUCUAGAAAGGAGAAAUGAGUAUCUUCCUGGUAAGUUUAAUAACUUGUAGCAGCAUCAUACUAAUUUUAUCUUAUUUGUAAUAUUUUUGUAUGAACGUUGUAUGCAUUUAUUUUGUGGCUAUUUGAAUGGCUGUAUUUGCUAAAUAACUCUUUGUAAGCCUUUGUUCUGGAAGAGCUUCCCAGACUUUUUGGCGCAUGAACUCCUCUAGUGUUGCUGCUAUCACUAAUGAUUGUUGCCAUGUCUUCUCUACUUUUCCU
rnacentral:lncRNA from 1 species